rnacentral:rRNA from 1 species
GAUGAACGCUAGCGGCAGGCUUAACACAUGCAAGUCGAGGGGUAACAGGAAAAAGCUUGCUUUUUCGCUGACGACCGGCGCACGGGUGCGUAACGCGUAUAGAACCUACCUUUUACUGAGGGAUAGCCUUUAGAAAUGAAGAUUAAUACCUCAUAGUAUCAAAUUUUUGCAUAAUUAUUUGAUUAAAGAUUUAUGGUAAAAGAUGGCUAUGCGUCCUAUUAGCUAGAUGGUAAGGUAACGGCUUACCAUGGCAACGAUAGGUAGGGGUCCUGAGAGGGAGAUCCCCCACACUGGUACUGAGACACGGACCAGACUCCUACGGGGAGCA